rnacentral:lncRNA from 1 species
AAUAAACGGGGGAGGGGGAAAGAGGGAGGGAAGGAGAGGAACACCCUCCUCCUCUUCCAGAAACUGCACCUCAGCCUGAAAUUUGGCGCCCGGGCUGCGCCGACCGCCGGCCCCGAGCCGCCGCGGGCUCCGAGGAGUCGGCCGAGCUGCUCCCGCGCCCUGGCCGGACGUUUGAAACUAUUGCUUUGCUGAAAACAUCUGACUGCCAGGCUAGGAUGUGACACUUAAGGGACCAGGGAUCAUUUACAUACUGUGGUCUUGCAUUACUGCGAUGAAAUCUUCCACCACUCCCACCACCCACUACAAGAGAUGGAAUUAAUUGAAACUACAGCCUUCAAGAGACAUUUGGAGCAAUACUCUUCCAGUUCUUUCUUCCACAUUUUAUUUGUGGGUACAGCGUCUCCCAGGAUGUAGUGUGCUGUAAUUAUUCUUCCACCCUUUUAUUUUCUGGGAGUUUCUCUAUCUGAAUAGCACAGAAAUAUUAGUGGAUAGGAAGGGAAUAUAAUAUUCUAUCCAUCUGAAAAUUAACACCCAUGUUGAACAGAAUCCCUUUUCAGUUUCCUGUUUACUACAGGGUCCAAAUCUCUGAGCUGAGCUGUGCAGCAGAUAAUAGGAGAAGAAAAAAAGAUACCUGCUCCUCUUUCAAGGACG